CGAGGGUAUUGUUGUCAAUUCACGUAUUUCUAGGUCGACUCUUACUGGUGGGACAACACGUGCAGUCUCAUUUUCUGUCAAUGGAGCACUUGUUGCUCUCUAGGACUUCUAUUCUCUCUUAACUUUUCGUGGCAGAGCUUUUUCUUAUCUCAGGUGGGGGUUUCAUUCAUCGUUUUGCUUCUCCGUUUCUGCGCUCACUAGAACUGUUUUAUCUGCUCAUUUGCUAUCAGAAAACCAGAUAAAUUUGGAUCAACUCUUGGAAAGAAGGCAUAUAUCGUUGUCUCAGGAUGCAAUUUUUGCACUUGUGAAGAUGCCGCUACAGCUUUGAAAUGGCCAAAGGCAGUAUGCGAAGAAAGAAGAUUCAAGAUUAUGGAUAUAGGAGUUGGUGCUUUAUCAGGAAUUUCAAAUUCAGAGGUGCCUGUUGUUCAAGGAGUGUACGUUAGCAUGAAAGGACUUAUCAAAACUCAUAAUCCUAGCCUGGUGAUAACAGUAGCUGAUGCUGACUCUAAUGUGAGAAAGCUCUAAAUAUGGCUACAGAGGCUAAUACUAUUGUGAUUUUACGCCUAAUAUUUCCCUUCCCUUUUGUCUACACUUGAUCUGACAUUUUUGACCAAUGCAUUUGUCAUUAAUCAAA